ACCUGUUCCCAUCUCGAACACAGUAGUUAAGCUCAUAAACGCCGAAAGUACUUGGCUGGAGACGGCCUGGGAGGAUAGGAAGCCGCUGAUU
rnacentral:rRNA from 1 species